GAAUGAUCUAUUGAUCAACCAUAGAUAAUUUUGAAACAUUGAAGAUUUAAUCAACUCUAAACAACCAUGGUCAUGAUCUAAUAGACCUCAUCAACCAAACAAAUACAACAACAAGUCCAUAAUAAAAGAAAAUGAUAACACACACAAAGCAACCACAGAAAGGUGUAAAAGAUAGUAAGAGUAGAAAAUCUUUAAAAAAGUGAGUAAACCAAAGUCAAUCAUUUUUUGCAAGCUUGAAUCUAAACCAUCUCAAAAG
rnacentral:lncRNA from 1 species